AGUGAACGCUGGCGGUAGGCCUAACACAUGCAAGUCGAACGGCAGCACAGUAAGAGCUUGCUCUUACGGGUGGCGAGUGGCGGACGGGUGAGGAAUACAUCGGAAUCUACUUUUUCGUGGGGGAUAACGUAGGGAAACUUACGCUAAUACCGCAUACGACCUACGGGUGAAAGCAGGGGAUCUUCGGACCUUGCGCGAUUGAAUGAGCCGAUGUCGGAUUAGCUAGUUGGCGGGGUAAAGGCCCACCAAGGCGACGAUCCGUAGCUGGUCUGAGAGGAUGAUCAGCCACACUGGGACUGAGACACGGCCCAGACUCCUACGGGAGGCAGCAGUGGGGAAUAUUGGACAAUGGGCGGAAGCCUGCUCCAGCCAUACCGCGUGGAUGAAGAAGGCCUUCGGGUUGUAAAGCCCUUUUGUUGGGAAAGAAAAGCAGCAGGUUAAUACCCCGUUGUUCUGACGGUACCCAAAGAAUAAGCACCGGCUAACUUCGUG
rnacentral:rRNA from 1 species